GUAUAAUGGGUCAGCGACUUAUAUUCUGUAGCAAGGUUAACCGUAUAGGGGAGCCGCAGGGAAACCGAGUCUUAACUGGGCGUUAAGUUGCAGGGUAUAGACCCGAAACCCGGUGAUCUAGCCAUGGGCAGGUUGAAGGUUGGGUAACACUAACUGGAGGACCGAACCGACUAAUGUUGAAAAAUUAGCGGAUGACUUGUGGCUGGGGGUGAAAGGCCAAUCAAACCGGGAGAUAGCUGGUUCUCCCCGAAAGCUAUUUAGGUAGCGCCUCGUGAACUCAUCUUCGGGGGUAGAGCACUGUUUCGGCUAGGGGGUCAUCCCGACUUACCAACCCGAUGCAAACUACGAAUACCGAAGAAUGUUAUCACGGGAGACACACGGCGGGUGCUAACGUCCGUCGUGAAGAGGGAAACAACCCAGACCGCCAGCUAAGGUCCCAAAGUCACAGUUAAGUGGGAAACGAUGUGGGAAGGCACAGACAGCCAGGAUGUUGGCUUAGAAGCAGCCAUCAUUUAAAGAAAGCGUAAUAGCUCACUGGUCGAGUCGGCCUGCGCGGAAGAUGUAACGGGGCUAAACUGUGCACCGAAGCUGCGGCAGCGACACUAUGUGUUGUUGGGUAGGGGAGCGUUCUGUAAGCC
rnacentral:rRNA from 1 species